AAUCUAUGUAUCCUGCACUGCACUGGAAAAGUGAAGUGUUGAAUUAUUCAGUGUAGGGUCACAUGUAAAUGUGUUAGUGAGUGAGUUGGGUUGAACGCCGCUUUUAACAGUAUUCCAGUUAUACCAUAGCGUGUCAGCUUAAUGUGGGAGGAAAGCCCGAAGUGAUGCAGGUCUCCGAUGUUUACCACUUCGG